UCCCCGUUACCGGGGCAGUCUGAAUAGAAAAAUACAACUAUUCAUAAGGGUUGCGCUCGUUGAUGGACUUAACCAAACAUCUCACGACACGAGCUGACGACGGCCAUGCAACACCUGUCACUUGGUUCCCGAAGGCACUUUCGACUUUCAUCAAAAUUCCAAGGAUGUCAAGUCCAGGUAAGGUUCUUCGCUUAGCAUCGAAUUAAAGAACAUGAUCCACCGCUUGUGCGGGUCCCCGUCAAUUCAUUUGAGUUUUAAUCUUGCGACCGUACUCCCCAGGCGGGAUGCUUAACGCGUUAGCUUCGCUACUGAACGGGUCGAUACGUCCAACAGCUAGCAUCCAUCGUUUACGGCGUGGACUAC
rnacentral:misc_RNA from 1 species